rnacentral:rRNA from 1 species
CAACUUUCAACAACGGAUCUCUUUGCUCUUGCAUCGAUGAAGAACGCAGCGAAAUGCGAUAAGUAAUGUGAAUUGCAGAAUUCCGUGAAUCAUCAAAUCUUUGAACGCAAAUUGCACUCUUUGGUAUUCCGAAGAGUAUGCUUGUUUGAGGGUUGUU